rnacentral:rRNA from 1 species
ACUCCUACGGGAGGCAGCAGUAGGGAACCUUCCACAAUGGGCGCAAGCCUGAUGGAGCAACACCGCGUGAGUGAAGAAGGGUUUCGGCUCGUAAAGCUCUGUUGUUAAAGAAGAACACGUAUGAGAGUAACUGUUCAUACGUUGACGGUAUUUAACCAGAAAGUCACGGCUAACUACGUGCCAGCAGCCGCGGUAAUACGUAGGUGGCAAGCGUUAUCCGGAUUUAUUGGGCGUAAAAGAGAGUGCAGGCGGUUUUCUAAGUCUGAUGUGAAAGCCUUCGGCUUAACCGGAGAAGUGCAUCGGAAACUGGAUAAACUUGAGUGCAGAAGAAGGUAGUGGAACUCCAUGUGUAGCGGUGGAAUGCGUAGAUAUAUGGAAGAACACCAGUGGCGAAGGCGGCUACCUGGUCUGCAACUGACGCUGAGACUCG